GCAAAACGCGAAGAACCUUACCAGAACUUGACAUCUCCUGCAUUACCCGUAAUUGGGGAAGUCCUUCGGGACAGGAAGACAGGUGGUGCAUGGUUGUCGUCAGCUCGUGUCGUGAGAUGUUGGGUUAAGUCCCGCAACGAGCGCAACCCUUAUUGUUAGUUGCCAUCAUUUAGUUGAGCACUCUAAUGAGACUGCCGGGGACAACUCGGAGGAAGGUGGGGAUGACGUCAAAUCAUCAUGCCCCUUAUGUUCUGGGCUACACACGUGCUACAAUGGGCGCAACAACGGGAAGCAAGCUAGUGAUAGUGAGCAAAUCCCUAAAAAUCGCUCUCAGUUCAGAUUGUAGGCUGAAACUCGCCUACAUGAAGGCGGAGUUGCUAGUAAUCGCGGAUCAGCAUGCCGCGGUGAAUACGUUCCCGGGUCUUGUACACACCG
rnacentral:rRNA from 1 species